AUAUAUAUAUAUAUAUACACACACAUAAAGAACUAUACGAUUUUUCGUGAAUGAAACGCUCCUUCCACAGUCUGGAAGGUUUUAAACGAGCGUGAAGCAGUUAGCUGGAAUGGCCAAUAGAACGGCGCAUCCACCAUGAUGAGAGCUAGGCCAGGAGCAGGAAACGAGAAACGUGGUGGAAAUUGAAAAUGGGAUGGACGUCCCAGGGAUUGGGGGAGACGGAUAUAGGAACAGAGCACCGAGACUCUCCACGGAAAUUACGUGAUCCUAAUUUCAACAUUUUAUAUGCACAUUUCGAUCGAAUUUAUUUAAAUUUACAGAAAAACCUUCGAAUUUCGUACCGAAGAAACAACCUUCUAAAAUACCAAUAUCCUUUUUCUACUAAAGUAAGAUACGUUCGGUUUUGGAAAAAUUAUAUCGAGAAUAGAAACGAUUGAUUAUUGUUGUACGUGAGAGAGGAACAAUUCAAAUUUUCUACGACGCCAAGACACGAUUUUAUCGCAACGAAAUAUAUUCCAUUCUCGAGCAGGGAGGACGGGGGAGGGGAGGGGAGAGAGAGGAAGCCAUAACGCUUUGACAAAGAAGAAGGAACCAAUAAGUCGAGCACCCUACGGCGGUCUGCCACGUUACAUAUAGCAAUCUAACUUGUGUUUAUGGCUGAAUAUAUAUGCAUAGCAGUCCAGCGGAUCUGUGGUGGCGCGAGAGGAACUCAUUACCCCCGCGUCGAGGAUAUUAGCAUAUUUAGAGGCAGUUCCCCCCUCCCUUGUCCCCGUCUCUUAUCAAACCCCCACCCUUUCCCCUCGCCCUUUUUUCCACGUCGAAAGGUGAACGUACAAGGCAGGAUGGUGACGAGAGAGAGACGGAUACGUAAGAUCGAAAAUUAUUUACUCGCUUCUCAUUUCCUUUACAUCUGCCUCGAGAUAAGGACGAGCGAAGGGAUAUCAUGUUCAUCAAUUGGGCCAAGCUUUUCAUCGUCACCCAUUCCAUUCUAACCUGAAAAUUUCUUCGUACUUGGAAAGCAGAAUACAAUAUUGGUCGUGAACGAGAAAACAAAAUUUUUCCAAGAAUAAAAUUCCUCCCCAAAAAUCCUCCUCUUUUAAUUACGAUUCCACCGGGUAUUCGACGUACGAGGAUCGCGAAUAAAAUUUGUAUCCGCGCCGGUAUGCGCGGAAUAAAAGGCGAGACAUCGGAUAAGUAAUUAAGGAAGCUCAUCCUCGGAGACAAUUUAACUUAAUGAGAGUCAGCAGCCAGUUCCUAUCUCCCCUCUUCUCCUCGUCUCCCUCCCUCUCUCUCUCUCGCUCGCUCCCUUUAUACUCGUCCAUGUUGGAAGUAAAAUGUCUGCUUUCCAGACGUCCGCCCCCUUUUCCCUUUUUUUCGCCUCCUACCCGAGGCCGAGAAUUUAGAUAAGACUUUAUUUCGCCCUUUCCUCUUAUUUCAACGGUUUUUCUCUCUUCUUUUUUUUUUCUUUUCUUCGUUUAUGGAAAAUUGGGAUUUUUUUUUUUGCAAUUUUUCAUUGCAAGCUUUACGAUUUAAUUGUUCGAAUUUUUUUAUAGACGGAUCGAGGAUUUCGAUGGAUGGAGAAAUUCGAGGCGAGUUUGAUGUUUAUCUGUGUGUUUUUAAUACGUUUGAAUAUGAUAUAUCGAAUGAUUUAAAUUUCUUGGAGGAUUGGGAUUUCGUUUCGAGGGAAUAACGUUUUUUUCUUCUCUCUCCCUCCCUCUCUCUCCGUCUCUCCCUCCCUCUCUCCCUCUCUCUCUCUCUCUCUCCUCUUGUUGAAAUUUUAAAGACGAUGAUUUGAAGUUUUUAAUAUGCUAAAUUGAGUGGACACGUAUAUUCGCGCAUGCAAAACAGAAAAAAAAAUUCCGAUAAUCUGGCAAGAAUCUCAAUUACAACCGUGUCUUACGAACGUCAUUUGCCAAUCAUCACGAUUCCUAUUUUCUAUGGACACACUUAAUUAUUCUUCAUACAUAGCUACGUAUCUUUUUAUUUAUGGUAACAAAAUUAUUAAAUUAACUAUAUUGUUACGGAAAUGGCGGCCAAAGUGUUGAAAUUAUUUUGACAAUCGCGGCGAAAGAUGGAAAAAAGGAGAGAGGAAAAAAAUUCCAAGGUCGAUCGGGAUAAUAUAACAAUAAAAUUCGAUCAGGAAAAAGAAAAUGGAAAAACAUUCCCCGGUGAGUUCAAGCUCAUUCGACUCGUUCGCUUGUGAAUCGACGAUUUUUAUUUUUAAAAAUAUCGAUCCAAUGCAUAUAUAUAUAUAUAUCUCUCUCUUUAUAAUUUUAUCAUUGUUUAAAUCGUUGACAAAUUUGUACUGUCUAAUUGCAUUUAUAAUUAUUAUUGGAAAAAAAGAAAAAUCUACCAAUCGAAAAGUGUGAAUUUCUGAGAAAUAAGGUAAUUUUAAACGUUGGAAAAAUAAGUUGUUUCCACCGCGACGAUCUGUUUUUCUUUUCUUUUCCUUCUUCCUUUCUUCCUUUCUUUUUUCUUCGGAAUUGGUUGCAUCAGCCGAGGAAAGCUCUCGGUUUACACGCGCAGGCAAUUUCUGUUUAGAUCGCCGCGCAUUUGCCGUUCAGCUGUACAAAGUUUACUCGAUUCAACCGGCCGGGGCGGAGAAUAGAUUCGCUUGAAAUUUCGAGAAUUCGAGAAUUCGAGAAAUGUAUUAAUGCCGAUAAUUAUGAGUGAGCUAUUUCGAAUAAUUCGAAAUUCAACAAUUUUGUGUAUCGUUCGAAAUCUGGAAAUAAUAAUAAUUUUAAUAUUAACAUUUCUUCGAUGAAAAUAAUGAAAAUCAGGCUUCUCCGUUUACUUUCCACCAUAGAUAUUAAUCUCACGCUGAAUAUUCGUUCCAGGAAUCGAGUGAACGAUAUUCCUCGUUACAGAAACUAACGCGAGCGAAUUUGGAAAUUUUCGCUCGUUUCGAGUGUUCCUUUUCGAGAGGUUGCACGUAAAACGAGAAGCGAGACCCUCGAAAUUCGAAAAAAAGAGGAAAGGAUUCGUUUUGAAACGAUCGAUUUUUUCCUCUUUUUUCAUCGAUUUACCUUUAAUUUUCAAAUUUCGAGCGAGUGCCAGACCCUCUUUGAGAUUUAAGAGAGGGAGAAGAGGUGUUCCUGUCUCUGCGUACAGCUUAUGCAAAGAUAAAUAAAUCGAUUGUUAUAUAAAUUAAUCUACCGUAGGUAACGAAUAUCUAUAUUUUUUAGAUCUGGAAGAAAAAUUCGUCGAAUAAAAAGAUGAAAAUUAUUUACGCGAGAACUGUUCCAAGGGAAUAAAUUCGAAGGAACGAUGAAUAAUCUAGGGACCUUUUUUUUUCACCAGAAAUAAAAAUGGAAACGCUGGUCGGAAUUGACAGAGGGUGAAAAAGGAGGGUUCGAGGGGCGGAAUCAUUGUUACGGAAAAUGGAAUACGGAGAUGGAAUCUUUUCUGAAAGCGUUUCAUUACGAGGGUAAAGGAAGCAAAGUGACGUGUACAGCGAAAGGAAGGGUUCGAAGCUCCGUUUCGAUCGCAGCGCCAUCGUACGAACCACGCGAAAGGUCAUUAGCCAAUAAUCGAUAAGGUAGAGAGGGGUGAGUCGAUAAUGUCGGCUCUGGAGGAAAACAACCCCAUUUCAUUGCCCAUCAUUGGAACGCCGGGGAAAUUCCAAAGGCUGUUGUAUCGUCCAAGAGUUGCACCGUUUAGAAGACGACGAAUACUUCAAGGACGGCAAUAAAGAUUCGAGGAUGGAGGAAAAGCGAGGUCGCUCUAGCAAAAAAAAAAAAAAGAAAAGGAACUAUAGGGAAUUUUUUCCUACGAAUCUACCUUACCUACGGAGUCAACCUUGACACGUUACGAUAAUUUCGAUAGAUUUGUUCGAACACGCACAUGUACAAUAUAUAUAUAUAUAUAUUUCAAACAGCGAUAAAUUACAACUACGAGGAAAAAUUACGAAUAGUCGAGGUAGUCGACGGAGGAAACCGAAGGUGGAAAAAUUGAAACGGUUGAUAAACGAACCGGUCGAACGCGUAAUAGAAGCGAAGUUGUACGCCGCGAGGAAAAUAAACUGUGCAUCUUAUUAACGGGGGAAGAGCCAAAAAGAAGGAAACGAAAGAAAGGAGCUUAUUAGAAAAGAAGAAACAAAUUAUAUAAUCGGAGUACAGUACGAACCUUAACCUUAAACCCGAACGAACACCUGAACCAAUCACGUUGCCGAAACGCGGUUGCCUAAACAGCCAAUCAACAAUGAC